rnacentral:RNase_P_RNA from 1 species
CGAGUCGGCAGGGCGGUCGCGGCGGGUGAUGAGCCCGUCGAGGAAAGUCCGGACUCCGAAGGGCAGGGUGGUUGUUAACGGCAACCCGGGGCGACCCGCGGGACAGUGCCACAGAGAACAGACCGCCUGGCGGCAACGUGGCCAGGUAAGGGUGAAACGGUGGUGUAAGAGACCACCAGCACUCCGGGUGACCGGAGUGGCUAGGUAAACCCCACCCGGAGCAAGGCCAAGAAGGGUGCCCCGAAAGGGGUACUCGCGCAGGCGUUCGAGGGCUGCUCGCCCGAGCCUGCGGGUAGGCCGCUAGAGCCUGUCGGCGACGGCAGGUCCAGAUGGAUGACCGCCCACCGGCCGCGAGGCCGGGGACAGGAUCCGGCUUACAUGCCGGCUCGUCCG